rnacentral:lncRNA from 1 species
AUGUUAUUUGUAACGAUCAUCAAGAAGGCAUAUGGGAAAAUUAACAAGUAUUUUAUAUUCUUCAUUCAUAAUUUAUUGUAUGUUAUAAUUUCUAAUGAUAUUAUUUUCUAACAACUAUAUUAUUUGAAUAUAGGUAUUUAAAGUCAAGACACAAAGACAACAAGGUAAUAUUAUUUGAUAUAAUGAUGUGUACAUGGUAGGUUAUUUUGUGUCAUUUUGGCUUUGAUGUAAUAUACAAUUUUUGGUUCCUAAUGGAAUUGUGUCAUUGGUGUAAUACAAAAUUUGGUCUAAUUCAAUUCACAAUUGGGUGUAUUCUUGUUUCUGGUCUGAUACGAUUCAAAAUAUUAAGGUUAAAAAUUUGAGAAUACUGUAAAAUUGAAAAAUAUAUACUAAAUAAAUAAAUAAUAUCACAAUGGUUUUUAAUUCAACCGUUGUUAUAAGUAGAGCACUAUGCAUAAUAAUAUAAUGCAAAAAUGACGUUGUUGGGAUUUGAACCCAAAACCUAUAAAUUAUUUCACAACGGUUGUCUUCUUUAUCCAUUAUUGUAAGUAGCAUGCUACCUAACUUAUAACCACAAUCACUCGCUCGUUGUGAAAACCAACAUACAUACAAUCACACACUACCUAACAAUAGACGUGAAAUUGUCAUUGUAUGUGUUUCACAACUGUCAUUAUAUGUGUUUUCUAUAAUAAUGCUUUUUUGAUUUAUUGCAUAAGUUACAUGUAGCAUCCAUAUUAUAAAUUUUGAAAAAAAUCGCACUGCAUGUCUUCGGAUUUUAUAAACCAAACAAACAUAUUGACAUGUAUUUAGAUUUCAUAAUAUGAAUAUUAUUAGAAUGUGUGUUGAUUGGUGUAAAUUUUGUUGAUUAGUAGUUUAUGUAUACUCUCUUCAAUCUCAUAACCAACAAAAUAAAAUUCAAUGUUGUUAAAUAUAAGUAAAAUCUUCUCUCAUUAUUACAUUCAAUUUUACUAUUCCAAAUAUUACUACUCUUUAUUUUUAUUUUUAUAGCCUCGUGUUUUUCAAGUUUCCAAAAUAAAAAGUAAUGGUAAAAAUAGAAAUAGUGUAUGGCUUAAAUGUAUUUAGAUGACUUCUUUAAAGAUUUUGUAAAUUUGCUUAUAUAUAAGAUUAGAUGUAGUAUUUGUCAAUUUUCAAUAAUGGAUAAGAAUAGUAUGCUGAACUCGUGCAAGGAAUAAAACAGACUUAACCACUGUCUCUACCCGACUUGAGCAUCAAUGUAAAAUUUGAGCAAAUAUAAUUGGAUUUGCAAACUACAACCUCAUCCUCGUGAGAUUGAGGUGGAGGUUGAAGUUUUGGAGGAGAGUGAAAGUUCUAAUUAUUCUUUUUUUUUUAAUUUCAAGAUGGGAAACUGAAAUAUAUAAGUAACGACAAAAAAUUCAUAAAAUUAACUACUCCAAAUAAACAAUUUUUCAUAAAUGUCAUUCGAGACAAUAAUCUAUAUGACCUUGACACCAUAGGUUUUAGCGUAGAUGAUCAUUGCUUGGUGAAAAUUUUGGAUCUAUAUGCUUGCAGGCAUAAAGUUAAUAGUUCUAUCGACAAACCUCAAAAGUAUUUUGAUGACGACAACACUAAUAAUUCCUAAAAUCGGUGGUAACAUCUUUCCAACUCCUUUAUGAUGGUGAUUAACUUGAAGAUACCUCAAGCCUCAUCAGGACGGAGACUCAAGGUUCCAUUAAAGUUUUUAUAUGAUCAAUGUAUCUGGCGAAGGAAUUUAAAAUCUUUAGAAUUAUGAAAGAAAGAAAGUGUGAAAGCUAGCCUAAUCGUAUCUGUUUGAGUAACCAGAGUCUUCUGAAAGUAAGAGAGUAUCUCCUAAGAUACUUAGGAAACACACAGAUAUGCACACACACACACAUGCACAUACACAUACACUUUCUCUCUCUCUCACACUCUUUUUUUUUAUCUCUCUCUCUCUCUCUCACACUCUCUCUCUCUCUCUCUCUCUCUCUCUCUCUGAGAAAGAGAGAGAGAGAGAGUCUCUCUCUCUCUCUCACACACACACACACACACACUCAUUUUAACUAUCAAAAUACCUAAAAAUGUUUUCAAGCCUUAGCCAAUUGAUUAGGAAAUUGUCAACUUCAUUAAAAGCAACUUUUGAACUAUCUAAUCGAUUAUAUCCUAAAGCUAAUCGGUUAGAAGAAGCGAAAUCAAUUAUAUAAUUAAUUAUGGUAGCGUAUUAAUGAUUAGUAACGACUCUAUAUCUAAACAUUCCAAAAUGGGCUAAAAUAAUCUAUUAUUUUUUUGUAUCUAAUCGAUUGGGCUUAUGGCCUAAUUAAUUAGAUUAGUUAAUUGGCUCAUGGAUUAUUUCCUUUUUAGCCAAUUAUUCUCUCUCCUCUUUAUUUCACACAAGAAUUCCAAAUUUCUCUAGUUCUUUGGAAUUUAUCUCUCUUUGUUGUCUCUCUAAAUAUUUUCUUUCACCAAAGUUACCUUAGUGCAUUGUGAGUGAAAACUAUCUGUGAGGAAUAAUUUAUACUAGUGUCGUUCCAUUGUUAUUACUCUCAAGAGUGAGAUAUUCUUGAGAAAUCGAGUUUAGUUAUUGAGAUUAACCAUUCUAAAAAUCUUUGUUUGGUUCUAGGACUUAGCCUGGAAAAUUUUAGUUUGGUUAUUGAGAUUAGCAUGGAAAAAUCUAAUUAGCUCGUUAGUUCAACUUGUGAAAAGACUUUCUUUUUGUUAGGGAUAAGUCACUGUAAAGUCUCUAGAUCUGUUUGUAUCAAAGGUUUGUGGAUAUAACCUGUAAAAGUUCAAGUUUAUGGUCAAAAUCUUAAGAAGAUCUCAUGGGGAUAAAAGUCGGUUAACUUUCGACCAAACCUGGAUAAAUCAUUGGUGUAAUCUCUCUAACCCUUAUCUUUUAUUUUUGUCCUUUAUUAUAUUAACUUUAAUUUUUGUUGCUUUUCACUAUAAUCUUAAUAUUAACGUAAUUUGACUUUUAAGUAACAAAAACUUAAGUUUAAUUACGAAUUUUUAAUACCACAAUUCACCUCACUCUUGUGCUUGAAGUCACUUGUUCAACAAGUGACAUCAGAUCCUAACUCAUAUUAAAGACUAAUCAUCCCAUGAGGAAAAACAACUUCAAUCUAUUCACUAAAUAAACCACCAUCCUUUAAUGGAUAAGGGUAUAUUUAUUGAAAAUGUAAAAUGGAGUUUUCCAUAUAAGAGAUGGAUUGUGGUAUUUAAAAAGUUGUGAAGGAAAGUUUAUGUUCAUACACAUCAUACUGAUGGUGUUGUAGUGAACAAAACUGGAAAUAAUUGGACCAAAGAUGAUAAAGAAAAUGUGUAGUGCAGUUUGAAAGCAAAAAUGGUCAUCACCGCCACUCUUGGUCUUGAUAAAAGCAAUGUGGGACAUCCUCCAAAUUACCCAUGAAGUAACUAUUUGUGUAAAGAGGGCAAGGUUGGGAUCAUUAACCUAUUAGUAUAAAAUUUUCAAGAUGAAACCUAAAGAGAACAUAAAUUAGAUGCAAACACGAUUUACACAUAUCAUGAGCCACAUGAGAACUCUAGGAAAAACAUUUUCAAAUGAAGAACUAGUUGUGAAAACUCUUAGAUGUUUAAACUGUAACUAGAAACCUACAUUGACUAUGAUUUGAGUAUCUAGGGAUCUAGAAAUUAUAGAUACACACACAUACAUACUCUGUUUGAGAAAUUACAAGAACACGAAAUAUAAUUAAACAGGCUUGCCAUAGAUGAGGAAGGAGAAAAGAAAAGCAAAAGUCUAACACUCAAAUUCGAAUAGUCCAACUCAGAUGGUGACAUGUAUCUUAUAGUAAAGAACUUAAAAAUAUUUCUAAAUCAUGAGAAACAACAAAAAUAGGAAGAUGAGGAAAAAAUUUCAUUUAUCCCCACUUGCUACAAGUGUGGAAAGAAAGGGCACAUUAGGCCAAAUUAUCCCUUAGCUAAAAGACAAAUAAAAAGAAAUCUAAGAAACUUUAGAAAAAGGCCAAGAAAGCUUACAUAGUAUGAGAACAUAACAAUAUGAAAUCCUUAGACAAUGAAGAGGAAAACUAACAUCUAUCUCAUGGAAAAUCAUCAAGAUGAUGAGGUAACUUCUUAUUUUUCCUAUCACGAUCUUUUUUGCAUUUGUAAGAAACUAACAAAAGAACCAAGAAAACUGAAACAAAUUGUGUGUAUCGAAGGAUAUUAUUUCUUCUCUUGAACUUAAAAAUAAAAAACCUUGAGAAAGAAAAUAAAUCCUUAGAGAAAUAUAAAAUGAUACAGUUCAAAACUUUUCCACUUUAAACGAAGAGGAUGAAUCUGAUAAGUGCAACAAAGGUGAUACUUUGAAAAAUGAAAUUUGCGAUUUUCAAAAGUCAUUUGUUAAGUUCACCAAAGGAAGAGAUAACUUGAAUCUUCAGUUGGGAAAUCAAAAAGUUUCUUACAAUAAAGUUGGUCUCGGUUAUGAACCCAAAAAUGAUAGUAGAACUUUAGUAACAUUUGUAUUGCUAAAUCCACCUCUCAUUGCAAAACCUUAAAAUACAACUAUUGUAACAAAGGUCAUAUGGCAUGUUCUGUUUUAUUAAUAAAUUUACGAGAGAAAAGAAGGACAUCCUCCUUCAUACUUUUAUAAAAAAAACAUUGUGAGCGCAAAAUAAAGAUUUCACUUGCUCUAUUAAAUGUUUAUGUCUCUAGUAUAAAGACAAAUGAAAAGAAUAUUUAUACAACUAACAAUAAAGGACCCAAGAUGACAUGGGUACCUAAAUUUAAGACCUAGGCUUUUAUUGCAGGAGUGCUUUACAGUCUUGAUUUUUAAGUAACAAAAACUUGAAUUAAAUUGCGAACUUUGAAUAGUACAAUUCACCCCCCUCUUAUGCUUGAAGUUACUUUUUCAACAACAACCUUUUUUAGAGAGGUGGCACGAGGAGACAUCAACUUGUAUAUCCCGAUUAAGGAGAUGAAAGUGAAACUAGAUGAAAUCUCAUGUUUUCUGCAUCUGCUACUCAAGAGUCGUAUUCUUGACUACACCAUAGUUACAAAGCAUAAAUAUUAUCUAAUGGUUGAUCUUCUCGAAGUAGAACCACAUAACAUUGAACAAUAAUUUUAUGAGGGCCCUGGAGGUAAUGCAUGGUUCAAAUUCCUGAAGGGUUAUUUAUGAAACACCUUGAAACUACAGGGGCUAGUGACUAGGCCGAUGAAGGUGUUAAGAAAUAGUUGUACAAGCAGUACAAGACUAGGAUAUAUCUCCCUUACUUGAUGGACUCAACCAUUUUCACAAAAAAAGGCCAGUUAUAGUCACAUGAUGUAUUUAGAGCAUUUCAUGGAUCUAUACAUGAUCACUGGCUAUACUAGAGGCACUGUUACAUUGCCUUACUUGUAUAGGGAGAGCUGGAUGUUGUGACCAAGUUUAAGAUGAUACAAUUAGUAAUAUAUAUGACAUUAUUUCAAGUAAAAUAUUCAUGUAGUUAUUUAAUUAGUUGUUAAAAGUAUUUUCUUCAAUAUUAUUUACUAAUUAGUAUACAUUGUUGCAUGCAUGAAUCUAUCAAUAUUUCCCCAAUAUUGACAAACAAAGAGUAUGACAAGACGGUGCCUCAUGCUAACCUUUUCAUUUCGCUUAAAAGAUAUCCAACUAGAAAAUUGUAUUGAGAACCUAUAUUUUGACUAUUAUCACAAGAUGUGUUCCUUGACUUUUACGAUACUCAACGUGCCAUAUACCUUUUCAAUGACAUUAGAUUCUAUUUUGGUUAGGUCAAAUGUUUACUAUGUAUGGUUAGGUACUUUCCAGAGGUAAUUUUGCCCUAGUUCAAUAAGAUGCAAACUAUUAUAAGACAUCAAUUUAUCUAUGUUAUACACACGACCACUCGAGAGUACGUUGAUCAUAGGUAUCUUGAGCGGCUAGACCACAUCUUCCUAAAUAUUUAGGAUAUUGCGACAUGAAACAUAAGAUAAUAUAUUAAGAUAUCACUUCCUUACCUGAUCCCCAUACCUGAGGGAAAAUCUUUGGUACUAAUUGAGAAUGAAUCACUUGAAGAGGAGGCAAAAAAAGAGGAUCACAAUAGUCGGGUCCCUAUUUGCACAUAAACUUGAGACAUGACUUUUGAAUUAUUAUCUCAUGGGACUAUUAAGUUGGGUACUAAAGUUUACGAUGUUGUCUAGAGCAUUCAAAUGAAGGUUAAAAAUUCCUUGUGACACAAGAGAUUUAGGAGGAAUGAAAAUAAUUCUUGUGUGAAAGGUUUCAAAGCAAGGAUUCUCACAAGGAUGGCUAAUAUAAAUGUAAGUUACAUAUUUAUCACUAUCAUAUCCACACAUUUAUUUGCUUACUUAGACACGAAGUAAUACAAGAAACUUUUAAUUUAUGCUUAAUUAAGAAUUUUCUUAUGUUACUUCGUUCUAAGUAAGCAAAUAUCACAGAGGUAUUAUAUACGAAAGAAAUUUUUAAUUAAACAUAAAUUAAAAAUUUCUUGUGUUACUUCGUGUCUAGUAACUUACUUACUAGACUAUUGGUGGUUUCACUAGUGACUUGCUUCUAGUGUUUAAAAAGUAAUAAAAACUAAUUUCCACAUCAUCAUAAAAGUAUUUUGAAAAAAAGUCACUUUUGAAUACUCUCAAUUUUUAAAAGAAACUAUUCCAAAUAUUCAAAUUGGGAACACCUUUUUUUUAUAAGCAAAAUUAUACCCCUGAAUUAAAUUUGAAGUUUCUCAAUCAUCCUCUAAAAUAUGGAGGUAUACUUUAGAAGAAAACAGCAAAAACUUAAAAGGAGGUGUGGAAAUGAAUUUUAUGCAUACCGAAAGCAAGUCCCUUUUUUUUAACAGGGGCAUGAGGCCCAACAAAUACGAGUUAUUGUCAUUCAAAAAAAAUAAUGUAGAAGUGGAAAUAGUUGCAAGGAAAAGUGCUCGGGUCCCCGCCGCAGCAGGUUAACGAACGGUGGCAACUGCAACUGCAACUACAAAUCUGAUAUAAACCCUACCAUCACCAUGUCCAACGACUCUUUGUUCGCCGGCAUUCGUUUUGACAGAAAGAAAUUCGGCGCAGAUAUUGCCAGGUUUCAGGUACCAUUUCAAUCUCUCUUUAACUAAACGCCGCUGAAAGUGAAUUCAAGAAAUUCCAACCAAUUUUUUUGACCUAAAUAUUCAUCACUGCUCAAUUUUCAACCAUUAAAAUUCGGAGCAGUUUUCUCUUAUGUACCUUUGUCAAUCAUAGUAGCGUGAUAUUUUGUAUGCAUAUAGAACUUAACAACGGCUACUAGCUAAUUUGAUAAACUGUACAUCCUCAGAAAGCGUCCUUAUGGGAUACAUGGAUUUCUGAUAAGACUAUUUUUAGCAAUUUUGGAAGUCUUUAAAAGAGGACUUUGAUUAUAUAAUCAAGUUCGCCAUUCAUGAAAAUGAUGAUACUGCACGCUGUAUUCUUAAUAUGAUGUCCAUUAGAGCAGAUACUAGAGCUAAGCACAAAGAAAUCAAAUGAAGCUUGUAAUGGAAAGAAUCUUCCCUGCAUGGUUUGAAAGUUACAAGUUCACAAAGAGACGGACUUCUUUUUUGGAGGAUUUCAGAUGUUUUUUUAUGUUUUUUUUAUUUUAAUCUUUUAGUUUUUUAAAAGUAAGUCGUGCACGAGAGAGAUGGUUUCAAACAUGUUUAUGCAGCAAGGCUUGAUAAAAUGUAGUCAUUCUCUUGCUAUUGAGAAAAACCCAAGUCCCAUAUGAUAAAGAGAGUCUGAAACGCGGUUAUAAAGAGGGACAACCCCUACAUUACUAGUCGGUUUUGUUAGGAUGAGUUAAAUCCAAUAUAAAAACUUACUAUGAUAUUAGAGCCUAUCGAUUUGGGCCACCUGCCAUUUAAUCCAUACAUCAAGCUCAAUAGUUAUGGGUGUGACUUGUGAGGGAGUGUAUUGGUAAAAACCCUAGUCCCACAUAAAAAUAAAGAAAAUGUUUGAAAUGAGUUUGUAAAGAGUGACAUCUCUCACCUUAAAAAUCAGUUUGUAAGGAUGGGUUACACCCAACAUAAAAAACCUAAUGCUUACUUAUUUCAUUUCUUAAUCUAUGCGAAACACUGAUAAUAGUUAUUUCUUUAAAAAAAGAAAAAAAAUGCCGAUACUAGUUUGGCGAAGAUUCAGAGUGUGACAGAAGAUGAAGAAAUCAAGGAAACAAUAGAAGCUGUGUCUGCAAAGAAAAGGAAGCGCAAGAAAACCUCUUCUGGUAUUCUCAUUCUCAUGUUUUAACACUCUAUGUCACAUAUCACUUGUAUUAAUUGUUCUUUAUCUCACUUUUGCUUUGUUUCUAUGACAAAUAAAAGAAGCUGUUGAUGGAUUCAGUGUGUUCCGAAGUUCAACAUCGAAGUCAAGCGAAAAAGUCCAAGCCGAUGAUGAUGAGUCCAUUCGGCUGAAGAAAGAAAAAAAUAAGCAACUCGAGGUUCAGGCCCUUUAUGUUUUGUGCAAUAUAUAGAACUCUCCGUGUUCUUAAGUUUGUGCAAUAAUUUUCUGACCAUUCACUUUCAUUUUUCAUCUUUAUUUAGCGCGAUGCUAUCUUUAGGAAGAGUCAUAACAUUCAUGUGUCCGGUUACAAUGUGCCGUCCCCACUUCAAAGCUUUGAUGAGUUGAAAACAAGGUAAUUUUCUGUUAAUAUUAUUAUUCUGGAAUCUGGUUGUUACAUAUUCUGCUUAUUAUUAUUAUUAUUAUAUAUUUACAUGAACAUGGCAUUGCUGGUUCAGAAUCUUAAAAUGAACUGUUUAUUAUAGUUAUAAAUGUCCGUCCUAUUUAUUGCGGAAUCUGGCAGAACUUGGAUUCAGAGAACCAACACCAAUCCAACAGCAGGCUAUUCCAGUACUCUUACAGGUACGGAUCACAUUGGACAUUAUGUUAUUCGAAAAUCAUUGAUGUAGUUUGAUCUUGGUUUUGAUUCGUGCAAGCUUGAUAUUGUUUGCAAGAGAGAUAGUAUCACAAUAUUGUUUUUACUGAUAUUUUCCUUCACUAAUAUGAGAUAGGAUCGUGAAUGCUUUGCCUGUGCCCCAACCGGCUCUGGAAAAACCCUUGCAUUUGUGUGUCCCAUGCUCAUGAAGCUCAAGGUAUUGCUUAUAUUUUGUUGUCUUUUGCUUCCAACAUCCUGGGUCAUGGGUUCCAAUAAUCAAAUGUGUUUAUAGGCUCAUUCAAAAGGUGGCGUUCGAGCUGUUAUCAUCUGUCAUAGCCGUGAAUUAUCUGGUCAAACAUACCGAGAAUGCAAAAAGUUUGCCAAAGGGGAAAAGUUUCGUAUCAAGUUAAUGACAAAACAUCUUUUAGAAGGUUCUGAUUUUUCAAAUUUUCCUUGUGACAUACUUAUAUCCACGCCCUUUCGAUUACGCUUGGCUACCCAGAGGAAAAAGCUUGAUCUCAGCAGGUGUGUAAUAAUAAAAAAAUCUGGCUUAUUGAUUUAAUCUUAUUACUCUCUAAAAAAUAAUCAAGUAAAUCAUUACAUGUAUAUUAGUCCAUAGGGAUUACUUUAAAUUCCUGUGAUGAUGGUCUACAGCUGCUCCUCUAUGCCACUUAUGCUGUAGUUUAAAUAUCUCAUAUUGAGCUAUACUUUGCUUUGUCCUUUCUCGACCAAUUGCAUGCUAAAUCGUGAAAUUAUCUCCUGGGUUGGUACUUUCUUUUUGCUGUCAUUCUUCAUUCCUUCUGCUAAAAUACAAUAUCAUUGAGGAACAUUUUUCCUGUUAUUCUUCAUUCUAUUUGCGUUUACGUUUCUUUUUAUCUGGCCCUGUGGAAUUAAUGAAGUAGACACGAGUAACCAGUUGAUCAUUCAGUUGACUCAAACCAUAAACCCAACAUGGAAAUCUAAGUUGUUUCAAAGUUUACCACCCCAGGAGAAAGUAAUUAAGUCUAAACACAUUCCAAAGUGUUUAUUGAGAAGCAAGCAAUUGCUAAAUCCAUAUGAAUAAUCGGUUGGAGUCCAUUAUUGCUGUCAAAUAUCUGCCAUGUUGGCGCCAUGGCGGAUUGCAGUGUUUUUUUUUUGACAAUUGUCAUGGCCAAUUUGUGAAGAACGGUGGUGCCAUGACCUUUUAUGGUGUACUUUUGGCUUUCUGCCAUGGUCUUCCAUCCAUUUGCCAUCGAUAACACUGGAGCCCAUUGAACAUGAAAACAAACACACGUUCAGCAGCAUAAUUAUUUCUAAAGAUUAUGGUUUCAUAUAAGAUGGGAGAAUCAAAUAUCUGUUGUAUAUUGGUAAAACAAAUUCAGUGUUUGUUUGCCUCUCAGUUGGCUGUGAUGUUAUUUAAUGAUAAAUUUGAUUGGGUACAACAAAUUGUGGCAUGGUCCAACCCUAGUUGGUGUCGGCUGUUGUAAUGUAAAACCUUAACUACUUAAAUGGUUCAUGCAUUUUCAAAUUUUGCUUGCUGCUUUUAGCUGUAUUCAAUGUUGUGUCUGCAAAGACAGUAGUAAUAAACACUAGACAUGCAAUGUGAUUACCAAAUAGGCGUGUUGAUGUUUUUUUUCUUUCAACUCUUUUGGUUGCUGCAGAGUUGAGUAUCUUGUCCUUGAUGAGUCUGAUAAGCUAUUUGAGCCUGGAAUGUUCAAGCAGAUUGAUGCUAUUAUCAAAGCAUGCACAAAUCCCUCAAUAGUACGCUCUCUAUUCAGUGCUACUUUACCUGAUUUUAUUGAAGAUAAAGCUCGAGAACUUAUGCAUGAUGCUGUUCGCGUAAUCGUUGGCAGGAAGUAAGUUCAAUAAAAAAUUUACAAUAGAACAUUAUGCUCAUGUGCAUUACUUUAACUCUUCACCCUAUUGUAAAAGAUAACAUCUAAUACUUUUAUGGGAAUCAGGAAUAUGGCUUCUGAAACAAUUAAGCAGAGGUUGGUUUUUACUGGAAGUGAAGAAGGAAAACUUAUAGCAAUUCGGCAGAGUUUUGCAGAGGUAUGAAACUAAAAUGAAUGCUUUAGAUAAAAGGCAUUAUUAGUCAGUUUGUUUUUCUUCUGCUUCAAUAUGUUUUGUCUCACAGGUCACAACUUAACCUUGGUCAGUGUGGGUCUUAUUGAAAAGUAAUUAGAAACCUCAUUACAAUUUAUCGUUAAUAUGUAUUUCCUGUUGUUAAUCUGCCUAGUUAAGAGAAACUAUUAAUAAAGAUUUUGGAGAUUAAUGAGUUGGAUAUAAAUAUGAUAUAUGAUAAAAUAUUAUGACAUUGUUUGAUCCAUGUAGCCGACUCCAAAUAGUGAGAUAAGGCUUUGUUGUUGAUUGUAUGUUGCAUGCAUAUAGUUUAAUAUUUACCUUGUUUCAGUUUGGUGUUAAAUAAUGUAUUGUGAGUGUAAAUAUGUAACGACUUGGAACACUUGUUAUUGUAACAUCUACCUUUGAAACUAGCGGAAAGAACAUAAUAUUGCAACACUUGUUUGCUCACUCCUAAUAUAUCAGUUGCUUGCAUUUGUUGACUUUGUUUUUUUUUGCUUUCCAUAUCUCGAAGAGUCUAAAUCCUCCAGUAUUGGUCUUUGUCCAAAGCAAGGAGCGAGCCAAGGAGCUGUAUGGUGAACUUGCAUUCGACAAUAUUAGAGUUGAUGUCAUCCAUUCUGAUUUGUCUCAAGAAGAGGUAGUUCUCAAUCCCUUUGAACAAAAUAAGCUUCUUGUUGGAAAGUAUGAAGGCACUCUGAAACGUUUUUCCCUUCAGCCAAAAAAUGCAAAAAGAAAAAAGAAAACCCAUGAAUUAUAUGACCAAGAUCUCUGGCCCAUACUAUUUAUAUGGUGAAGAUGUCAAAUUAUAGUAUUCCUUGUUUGUGCAAUUGCUUUUGUACUUGACUAAUCUGCUCAUCAUUACUGAACAAGACAAACCUGUUUUUAAUAUACAAUUCUGUUUAACUUUUAAUCUCUGAUCAUCAGCAAUGGGUACUCCAUUAUGAAAGCGCAUAUUUGUUAAGUUAGCUGUAGCCUGUAACUAUGAUGUGAUUUUUUUAAUCUCUUGAAUUCUAUACAGCGAGAAAACGCAGUUGACAACUUCAGAGCUUGUAAAACAUGGGUUUUGAUUGCCACUGAUGUGGUUGCUCGAGGAAUGGAUUUCAAAGGCAUUAACUGCGUGAUCAAUUAUGAUUUCCCAGAUUCUGCAUCGGCAUAUAUCCACAGAAUUGGUUAGUGUCACGACAUGAACAUUUUUUUUUUAAUAUUUAAGAAGUGUUUAGAGGGGCUGUGAUUUGUAAUAUUCACUCACUGAGCCUUUUCUUUAUUAUAUAUUCUUUGAUACAUCAAUUUUUAAUAAUGAUUUGAAUCUACUUUUUGCUAAAUAUAAAUGUUGAUAUUUCAAUAGGUCGAUCUGGUAGAGCAGGGAGGAGUGGCGAAGCAAUUACAUUUUACACAGAAGAGGAUAUUCCAUUCUUGAAGAACGUAGCUAAUCUAAUGGCAUCCUCAGGCUGUGAAGUUCCAUCCUGGUUGACGGAGUUGCAGAAAAAGAAGUGGAGGAAGCACCGACCCAAAAGAGAUUCUAUCUCAACUAAACCUGACAAAGUUGCAAAAAAACAAGUGACAGAAAAAGCAGUGGAGGAAGCACCGGCCGAAAAAGAUUCUAUCUAGACUAAACCAGAUCUUUAAGUCUAUUACAACAACAAAUUGGAACAAGUUUUUGACCUGUGAAAUUUCUUGAAGUGUUUAUUUCUUGAAAGACCAUGCAACAGUGUUAAUUUAUAAUCCUCCCUCUCCAAAAAUGAUGAAAAGGGGGUGACUGGAUGGUGUGCGGGGAAUGUUGUCUAAUGCUUAUAUAAGUUCCAACCAUGAUAUAAUCAUAUACAUUACCUUAGUGCCAGUUGCAACACCCAUAAAUGGGAAUUUUUGGGCCUUCCUUUGUACUGAACAAGCAAUUUUGUUGAUCCUAAAAUGUCUGAUUUGAUAUACGUUGAAACAACAUUUCAUUCAAUAGAUUUUUAUUGUGUGAUGGCUUUCUACACAGUAUGUUAGUAAUUCUUCCAAUGCCAAGGCAUGCACAUAAUACAUGCAAUUCUGUAGUAUAUGUCAAUUAUUUAAACAUUUUAUGUGGGCUAAGUCUCUUAACAUAAUUUAAGGAUUUAAUUUGUUCCAUUAUUUAAUAAGAGUAAAAAGUUUUACAUUGUCGAUUCAUCACCAUCAUCCGUUUGUAUUAUUUUGUAGGUUUUUAAGAUAAAAGUCAAAUUUGGUUCAAUAUCCAACGUCUAUAAUUAAUUGAUGGUGUAAAAUUCUUUUAUACUGUCAGUGUAUUUCAAUUAAAUUCAUUUAAUAAAUGUUAUUUUUUAAUCAUUUAAAAACUAUUUCAUGACUUAUGUGAAUGACAUUAUCUCAACAUGAAAGAAGUGGAGGAAAAAAUAGUGUUCGUAAAUGUUUUUUUUUUGUAGAUUAGCGAAAACCUUUGUAUCUUUUUAGAAUAACUUCAAAAUCAUAUCCUUUUAGAUUAAUCAAUAGUGAAUCGAGAUUUUGAUUUUGAUAUGACUUGGAGUCCUUGUUGGUUUUUUAUUUCUUUAUUCGGUGAUCUAUGAUCUAUUGAUGGUGGGUGUAUUAACUUAAGAUCUAACUUGCUACUUUUUAGUUUGGAGCUCGAAUAAACAGUUUUUCCUUUGGUUCUGUCAUGUCUUAAUGUUUCAUUAGUUUUUCUUCACCUGUUUGUAUUAUAUAUUAAUAUAUAUAUAUAAUAUAUAUAUAUAUAUAUAUAUAUAUAUAUAUAUAUAUAUAUAUAUAUAUAUAUAUAUAUAUAUAUAUAUAUAUAUAUAUAUAUAUAUAUAUAUAUAUUAUAUAUAUAUAUAUAUAUAUAUAUCAAUAUUAUUUUAUUCGGCUUAUGGUACAGCUUGUGCUAUUUGAUUUUCUUUUAUAUUUUGUGUUGAGUAUGACUUAUCAUGUAGAAACUCUAAACAGGUCUUUGGACCACCUGUUUGUUGGGGUAACUUAGGAUUAAAGUUUAGGUUUAGGGGUAUUUCACUUGUAACACUGUAACCCUUAAUUCAUAAGACAAAAGUCAAUGAUAGAAUGUGAUGAAAGUAUUGAUCGAAAUUGCGUUAAAAAAGAUCAAUCAUGUUCAUUGUCUUUUACAUUCGUUUCUCUUUAAUCCUCUAUGUUGGUUGUUGUUCUAAUAGUUGGUAACUCUAGUGUGAAAUUCGAGGUAACAAGGUUUGACGAGACAAAUAAUUUUGGAUUAUGGCAAAUGAGGGUUAAGGAUCAAUUGACUCAUCAAAGUUUAUAGAAAGUGUUGCAUGAGACAAAAUCGAACGACAUGGAGGAUACCGACUGGAUAGAGAUGAAAAACAAGGUUGCGAGAUUGAUUCACAUAUGUGUUUCAGAUGAGGUGAUGUAACAUAUCCUGGAGCUGACGACGCUGGAGGAGGUUUAAGACAAACUGGAAAGUUAGUAUAUGAAAAAGACGUUGACGAACAAAUUACUCCCUAAACAUCGACUAUACAGUCCGAAGAUGCAAGAAGAACCUGAUUUGCAACAACAUGGCAAUGCCUUCAAUAACAUAAUCACCGAUUUGGUGAGGCUUUGGAUGAAAAUUAAUGAAGAUGAUAAGGCAAUUAUCUUUCUCUGCUCGUUACUAGGUUCUUAUAACCACUUGGUGACCUAUGGAAAAGAAAAUAUAAGUCUUGGUGUGAUUACUGCUAUUUUUUUUGUCUCAUUCUCAAAAGAGACAAAGUGUAGAUGAAUGAACUUAAGGCGGAGAUUUGUAUGUGAAAGGGAGUCAAAAUCGUGUGCAGAAUAAGAGUAAUGGAGGUUCUGGAAAAAAGAUGUAUAAAUCUCGGAAUCGGAAAACAACUUAGUGUUAUAGUUGUAAACAUAUUGGGCAUUGGAAGAGAGAUUGUCCAAACAGAAAGCAAGCCUCAUCUAGUUUUGCAAAUGUAGUCCAAAUAGAUGACUUUGGUAGUGAAGCAAAUAUACAGUGUAUUUCAUCCAACCAAUGCACAUAUGUGUGGAUUCUUGACUCUGGUUGUUGUUACUACAUGACACUGCAUCGAGAAUGGUUCACUACAUCCCGGUCAGGUAGUUUUUUUUUUUUAUCAAGUGAUGAUAAAGCAUGUAUUAUCACCAGAAUGGGACAAAUUAAAAUUUCCAUGGACAAUGGUGGCGUUCAACAUUGUACGAACUCAAAUGUAUCUUAGAAUUAAGGAGGAAAUUGAUUUCCCUAGGUACUCCACAGACAAAUGGUUUUUCUUACAAGUAUGAUGAAGAUAGCCACAUUAUGAAAGUUAGCAAGGGUGAAUUGAAUGUGAUGAGAGCAAAGAGGACUGCAAGUAACAUCUACAAACUAUUGGGGAAGAGGUUUGUAGGUGAUGUUGCAUUAGUUGAGUCUAAUAAUGAUGCAACCAAACUCUGGCAUAUGCGUCUGGUUCAUCUCCAUGAGUGUGGGAUGAUGGAACUUCAUAAGAGGAAUCUAUUGAAGGGUGUUUGUAGUUGUAAGAUGGAAUUGUGCAAGUAUUGUAUACUUGAGAAAUAUUGUAGUUUUUGGUUCAAGACUAUAAACAAUGAAUUUUAGACUAUGUGCAUUAAAAUGUGUGGGGUCCUACCAAAGAGGUUUCCAUGGAUGGUUCCAGGUAUUUUGUGAGUUUCACAAAUGCUUUUUCUCGCAAGGUUUGGGUGUAUUUCUUGAAAUAUAAAGAUGAAGUCUUUACCAAAUUCAAGUUGUGGAAGACAGAGGUAGAAAAUAAAAUAGGAAGAAAAAUCAAGUAUUUAUGAUCAGAUAAUCAAACAUAUUACGCUGACUUGAAAUUCAAGAGGUUAUGUGAAGAACAUUAUAUUCAAAGAUAUUUAUCAGUUUGCAAGUCACCACAACAAAACUGUAUUUAAAGAUAUGGGUUUGAAUGGUCGGGGGGAGGGGGGGGGGGGGGGGGGGGGGUGGGGGGGGGGGGGGGCUUUGUUCCCAAAAAGACCGUUACAAAAAAUUCUUUUAUAAAAUUAGAGUUUUAAAAAAUGCUUGGCAUAGAGAAAGUUUUCGUAUAAAAGAUGUGAUUGGAUUGAUGAUAUAAUACAUACUUAUUACCAACAAAAAAUAAAGAAGCAAAAGAAUAGUAGAAGAGAAUACUAAAAUGUACUCGAUGUUUUGAUUGAACUAAGUUCAUUUUACACGAGAUUUGUAAACCAAAUUUUCUCAAAUGAAUAAGGAUUAUAUAAUCACAGUUUUCACUUUAUUCAAAAGUAAGAAUGUUUAGGAACUUGAUCUAACACAUGCCUAAUUUUUAUACACAAAAUCUCUAUGCACGCGGUAAAAUCUAUCAGCAUGCGAUUUCUAAGAGAAACAAUUAACCUAAACAUACAAUACUAAACGAAAUAUAAAAGUGCGAGAGAGGUAAAGAUAGUACGCCAUAUUUAGAGUGUUUCAGCGUUUCGUCAUCGUUUGAGCUUAAUCCACUCUCCAAUGCUUCCCAUUGAAAGUUUGUUGUUGCUCCACUAUGACUUUGACAAUUUUCACACAGAGUAUUUUAAUACAAUAAUGAUUCAAAUCAUGCUGAAAAUACACGAUCUUUAGUCUAAAUCUCUCUUUGACUAUAAACAACGUCUAAAAUCGGUUCCUACAAUUUUUACUUGAUCUCGACUUCUUCCUUCCAAACUCAAGAAUUCUCCUCCAAACGUCCGUUUUGCAUCGACCUUUACUCAGUCCUACCAGUUCCUUGACUUGUCUGAAGGUGAUAGAAACUCCAACUCCGUCUGUAGUAGCUUCCACACAGCUUUAUCGAAGCAAUCUUGAAGAAAAUAAACUCGUUCUUUUUCACAGUUGGAUUGCCGAUCUCAGACAGUCAGAAUUGAGUUUUUACCUUGACUUGUUUUUCCUAGGUAAAAUUGAAACGUAAAAUCGUAGAGUUUAUCUCAUUAAAAUAAUAUUAAAUUCACACACACACACACACACAUACACACACGCGUGCGCGUGCAUGCAUGGACACGUAUACGCGCGCGUACACGCACACAUGCACAUAUGCUCACACAUGCAUGUAACAUGAGCACACACGCACACACACACACACACACACAUACACACACACACACACACACACACACACACACACACACACUUGCACACACUCGACACACACACACAUACAUACAAACACACACCCACACACAUAAGCACAUACACACACACACACAUGCAUGCUUGCACGCACGCACGCGGGCGCGCGCACACACACACACACACACACACACACAAACGCACGGUAAAUGCACACACACACACAAACGCACACGUAAAUGCACACGUGCACACACACGCACGUGCACACACACAAUGAGAUUUAUCAUGUCAGAACCAAGCAUAUUGAAUGAUGUGAGUAUGAGUGUUCAUGGAUGUGGGUCAACCCAUGAACCUGUUGACCCAAACCUAACCAACCCAUAAAUUAUCCGAACUUAUUCAUUUACGAGUAUACCCAAUCCAAUCCUUAACAACCCGUAUAAUUUUGGUUCGGGUAUCGGGUUUGAGUUUUGCAACCCGUUGACCCAACCCAUUGAUGUGACUUUAAUAAUUUCUUAUUAUUUAUUUAUUAUAUUAAAUAAAAAUAUAAAAUUAAUAUCAAACUAAUAACCAUAAUUUUUCCAUUUUUUUUAUUCUCCACCAAUAAUACUACUAGACGAAUGAGUUUACGUAAUUCUAAGAUUAAAUGUUGUUUCUUAUUUUCUUUUGUAUCAUUUGCAACUUAUGUAUUUUAUGGAAAUAAUGUGUCUUUUUGAACUUUAUAAUAUUAUCAAGUGUUAUGUCGUGUUGAUGAAUUUUAUUAGAUCUUAUAUGACAUGUUUUAUCUAAUUUGAGUGUUAUAAAUGAGUAUGAUUGUAUUGAGUCGCGUUACAUUUUUUUAAACCGACAAAAAGAGUCAUAAAAAUUAUAUUUUUUCUUUGAAACACAACCUGCGAACCCAACUCAACCCAACCCAUAAAUGAACGGGUCGAUUCAGGUCAGUUUUGACAAUGAAAUUGCGAGUUUAGCGAUGGACCCAAUUCAUUGAAAUUUGAAUGAGUUGGAUAAUGGUAUAUGUCAAAUCUGGUCUAACCCAACCCGUGUACACCCCUAGAUGUGACAUUUCAAAAGACCAAAAAGUAACUUACAUAUAGACAAGUAUUACUUGAAAAAGUUCAUACUUCAGAUUAUGUAACUGAUAUGUUGAACAAAUCCGUCAUUAGUGACAAAUUCAAGCAUUGUUUAAGCUUGUUACACGUUUCUCAGUGUUAAGUAGGAGGUGUAUCUCCAUAGUUUUCAAGAUGUGAUCGCCAUGCUAUAAGUCCGUAUAGGGGUUUGACAUUUACUAAGAUGAAGAUUUUGAGAAAGUCUCGUAUUAUGUAAAACCUUCAAACGAGUCAUAGAUCCAAUAGUUUGUUGUGGGUAUCUAUGGAAUAUAUAUAUAUAUAUAUAUAUAUAUAUAUAUAUAAUAUAUAUAAUAUAUACUAUAUAUAUAUAUAUUAUUAUAUAUAUAUAAUUUAUAUAUAUAUUAUAUAUAUAUAUAAUAUAUAUAUAUAUAUAUAUUAUUAUAUAUAUAAGUUUAGAAGUACAAAAGUAUUAUUGUAAACUGAAAAUAAUAUUAUAUAUAUGAUUUGUAUCAAUGUAACCCUACUUCAUAAGACACAAAUUAAAAGAAUUAUAAUUGUUCUAUAGUCACAAAAGUGUACACCAUUGAUCAUACCGUAUUAACAAAGAUUAGUCGUAUUUAUUGUCUUUUAUUUCCGUUUUCAUAUUGGUUGUUAUUCUUUGUUGGGGUCUUUUACCCUUUAUAUUUAAUAUAUUAUCUUGCCUUUAAAAAAUAGUAUACAAACUAAUUUGGGAAAGUAUCUAAAUCAUUAGCAACCACUAUCUAAAAAAAUUGUUUUCACAUAUUAAGAAAUUUAGGGAAGUUUAAUGAAUUUUCUCGACUUUUUUGUUGUUGUUGUAAGAUAUAAGUUAAAUUUAUUAAAUUAUCAUUUUUUAUAUUUAGAGAUUUAACUAUCCGUAUUAGAUGUUUUGAAUAAAAUGAAAUGUAUAUUAGAAAUAAUAUCAUUAAAUAGUGUAGGCCUUAAAACCUUUUUAAUAGUUGGGAAAGAUCAGAUAGCUAAACUUAAAUGCCUAUUAAUCAAAUCACAUAAAGGAGGAAAAACACCAAAUACUAUUACUAAAACAUAAAAUUGUAAAAGAAACAUUUUAGUGUUAACAAUAUUAUCAACCCUCGGGGUUAGUCAUCACAAAUUUCUUGUAGUGCUUCGUCAAAACUAUCUUGGGUUUCUAUAUAGUUUCUGUAUUAAAUUCUCAGAUGUGAAAUACAUAUUUUGAAGGUAACAAUUGUACCAUAAACAGCUGCAAAUGACAGAUGAAAUUAAUUUAACUGAAUAUAACUUUGGAUCAAACUUUUUGUUAUAAAAAGCUGUAGCUCCAAUAUUAUGAAGCACAAACAUUUGAAAUACGACGCUGCUGACACGUUAACACAAGUAAUAAUUUUUAAAAAAUGAAUAAAUUAAGCGUAAUCACAAAUAUAGGUGUUGGAUUCGGAUACAGACGCUGACACAUACACACAUUUUUUCCCGAGGUGUCAGUGCUAUAUAACUAUAAUCCAACUACAAAUUUUCAACUUUUUAACUACCAAAUGCUAAUCUCUAACCUCUGGCAAAGAUCAUAGCCAUCAUCUAGCACCUGCAGCCAUAACUCUUCAAGCAUUGUGUAAAUGUUGCUCCUUUGUGGAUGUGAGCUAUCUUCAGAGAAGAAUAUAUGGAUCUUAUCCUUAACUUCUAUCCAGCUUUGACCAGGUACCUUUUGUACACCCAUUUGUUUCAUUAGGUUCCUUAGUGUAGCAACAUCUUCCCAAUUACCAGCAGAAGCAUGUAUGUUAGAAAGCAUCACCAUUGCCGCAGAGUUGGAAGGAUCGAGUUUUAGUAUAUUUUCUGCAGCUCUCUCUGCAAUGUCAACUUUAUUAUUAUGAGUUUUACAAGCAGCAAGUAGAGUUUUCCAAGUAGUAAUGUCAGGGUCAAAUUCUGAUUUCUGAAUAAAAGUCUCUGCUUCAUGGAAGCAUCCGGCACGAGCAAGCAAAUCAACCAUGCAAGAGAAGUGUUCUCUUGUCGGUGGAAUUCUGUAUUCUGUUUCCAUGGAUUUAUAUAAACGCCAGCCUUCCUCCACUAAUCCAAUGUGACUGCACGCGCUGAGAGCCCCGAGAUAUGUGACCUCGUUAGGCCGAACGCCAAGAUUUGUCAUAACUUUAAAGAGAUUAAGAGCUUCAUGUCCAAGUCCAAACUGAGCAUAACCAACAAUUAAACUACUCCAUGAGACAAUAUUUGGGCUCUGCGUUGAAUCAAAAACGUCGCGAGCAUGUUUAAGUGAUCCACAUUUUGCAUACAUGUCAAUCAAUCCAUUGCACACAGAAACAUCAAGCACUAGCCCACUUUUAAUACUAUAGCAAUGCACUUGAUUUCCGACACCUAAAGAUGUCAGCUCAGCACAGGUUCCUAAUAGAGUAGUUAUGGUGAUACUGUCAGGCUUAUUUUCAGAAUAAAGCAUUUGUUUAAAUAAUCUGAAAGUCUCUCCUUCUUGCUUGUGCUGCAAGCAUGCUGAAAGAAUUGCAUUCCAAGAAACUAAGUUGGCAUUUCCGCUUACAUCUCUGAAAACAUUUAAUGCAUCAUAUAGAUUUGAGCACUUUGUGUACAUGGUUAACAAGGAGUUGCAUACCGAUACUUCCUUAUCGAGACCGAUUUUGACAAUGUAAGAAUGAAUGUGCAUACCCUGGUUAGAUGCUGUGGGGCUCCCACAAGCGCAAAGUAAGGAAAUAAAAGUAACGUUAUCUGGGAUCAGUCCUGUUUGCAUCAUCCGAUGGAAAAAAUCUAUGGCUUCAUUAGCAUCACCAUUGUCAGCAAAUGCUGCAAUAAUUGCAUUCCAUGACACUAUAUCAGGGCUUUUAAUCUGAUAGAAUGCCGUCUUUGCCGAAGGUAAAAAUCCGAAUUUUGCAUACAUGUCACAAAGGGAGCAUCCAGCGAAAACGUUCCUCCCUAAACCGAAUUUAGCGCACAUUCCAUGUACUUGCUUUCCAUACUCUAGUUCAAGAAGGUUGCUGCAAGCACUGAAAACACUGCCAAAUAUGAACUCAUUUGGCUGAUAAACUCCCUGCCUGAGCAUAUCUCGGAAAAUAUAUAAAGCUUCUAUCCUAUAACCUUGUUGAGUAUAUCCCGUAAUCAUGGAACCCCAAGAAAUUAAAUCCUUUGUAGAAAUCGUUGUAAAUACAUUUGACGCAUGUGUGAUUUGUCCGAAAUUUGUGUACAUUGAAAUAAGAGCAUUUAGGGAGAUCAAGUGAUGACCAAACCAUGAUUUAAUGACAUGAGCAUGCAGUUGCCUACCUAAACCUAUAUCCCCGGCAAUGUAGCAAGCCUUAAUUAUGCUUCCAAAGGUUAACUGGUCCGGAAAUUGACCCGAUUGCAUCAUUUGAAUAUACAUGAUGAUGGCAUCGUUCUCUUGACUGUUCUGUGAGUAUCCGGAGAUCAGUGAAGUCCAAGAGACCACAUUUCGUAGCUGCAUUGUGUCAAAAACUUUUCUAGCAUCAUUCAUAGAACCACAUUUUCCAUACAUGUUAAUAAUAUGAUUUUGGAGAAUCAUGCUUGGUUGGCAGCUGGAUUUUGAAAUGUGAUCAUGGAUUUUCUUUGCAUAUUCAAGUGAUCUAGAGUUGGCGCAAGCCAAAACUAAACUCGUAUACGUGCUUGGUUCAAAAUGGAUAUUCGGAUUCUUUAGAUGAAAAUCAAACACUUCCAGCGCUUCUUUGUAAUGCUGUUGCUUACACAACAAUAUUAUGUAACUAUUAGUCGGUAGCUCUGUACUUAGAUUAGAGACAGUUGCUGGUUGCAGAACAGGUCUUACAUGAUUAUGCAUACAUCGAAUGAAGCUUCGAAUUGUCAUAGACAUGGAUGGGGUUUUUGAAAACUAGAAAAAGUAAAACUACUGUUAUUUGACGACAACGGAAGAAACCUUAAAGGGCAAGAUGGUUUCAGGACAGUGAAGUGGUUACAAAUGAGGGUUUCUGAUUCUGACUAAGGAUAUAACAAAAAACAGUAGUAGGAUGAUCAGAAAGUGAGUGUUUCCAAUGUAAAUAUAUGAAAUAUUAACAUGAACCAUGUAACUAAAUAUGCUAUAUUAUGCUAAAGCCACUUCCUAUAUGUUACUAUCUCGCUGUGGCAAUUUGUCAAACAGCUACUAUGCAACAAAAUUGCAUUCUAAAAUGUGUACAACAAUGAGUUAGAAAAACUGUAUAAGUGCAUAAUGAUCAUCUUUAAAAUAGUUUAACAACUCAAAAUUGGAGGAAAUUUAUGGAUUCCAAAACCACAAAAAAGUUAUGAUAACUGAAAAUAACGCACCUGAAGUCUCUGGUUAGUGCUCAACCAGAGAGAAUACUAAUGUCACGUGCUUAUUGUUAUUGUUAUUACAAAACUACCCACUAUAUUUUCUUUAUUUAUAAAAUUUAUGUUUUUAAGAUAAAAAACAUAAAAUUUUAAAUAAUUCAUUUUUUCAAAUAAAUAUCCAAAAUAACUCAUUUUUUCAUCUAUUUUUCAAAAUAACCAACUUUUAAACAAAAAAAAAUUUCAAAACAAAGGAGGCGUCAAUCCAAUUGACGUCUGUGUACAUCACAUAAGAGGAGAAGACAAUCCAAUUGACGACAUUGUACAAACACGUAGGAGGGAGAAUAUACUUUCUCUCCUAUACGUUUGUACAUUAUCGCCAAUUGGAUUGACCUCUCCUCGACCUCUCCUCCUCUUCUGUGUUGUACACGGACGCCAAUUAUAUUGACGUCUCAUUUAUUUUGAGAUUUUUUUUUAUUUGAAUGUGGAUUACUUUAAAAAAUAAUUAAAAAAGUGAAUUAUUUAAUAUUUAUUUGAAAAAAAUUAAUUAUUAAAAAAGAAGACAUCCCUUGUCAUUUAGUCAUUGAGUUAAGUGAAUAAUAUAAAAAAGAAAUUUUAACUUUAAUUAUUUGUUAAAAUAAAUUAUUUUUAAUUAAUAUUUUAUUUUCUCUCUAUGACAACCACACAUUUAAAAAAUAUGAAGCAGGUGUAAAAUUGGUGGGACAAUACUUCAAAUCAAAUUAAUAUGCAACGACUUUGUUCAAGCCCACAUUAUUAUCUUACUUCUAUUUGCAAUAAUUCUAUACUCCAAAUAUUCAUUAUGCUCAUAAUUAUCCUGCCAAAAAAAUUCCACAGUCAAACUUUAAUUAAAUUUUUUUAUGCACAUUCCUCUAAAUUGAUCCAAAAAAGUACCAAUUCAGCCUAAAUUAUAAACUAAACAAAUCCUAAUCACUAAUCAGCAAUAAUCACUAAUAAUAGUUAAAGAGACAGCUGCUACAAAAAAAAAAAAUAGAUUGGUACCAUCUCAACAGCUAUUUGGUAUAAGAUAGCAACUCAUCCUCUCACUCUCACAUAAAAAAUUAUUUUUCAUAUUCUUUAUAUAUAUUACUUUUGCUUCAAGUCACAACCAAGUGAAGCAAUUCCAAACAAAAACUAGUAAUUUAGUUUGAAAGUAUCAAUCAUAACCUCAUAAAAUUUCAAACGUUUUCUUUAACACCAAUACUUUAUACUUUAUGUUCCAUUUUAAAUAACCUUCUCUUCACUUCAUUCUCUUCCAACCUGAAAAUUUUCUGGUCAAUUUUUUCAUAACAUGGGUUCACUAGAAAGGUCAAAGAAAAAAACCCAUUUAUGGAAAAAAGCCAUGCUUCAUUUUUCUCUAUGUUUUGUUAUGGGUUUUUUCACCGGUUUAGCUCCAUCAGGUAAAUCUCUAAUAUUUUCUAGCAAAAUUGAAGUUGCAUUUGCAGUUUCAAACGUAACAGAGUUUGUAACAGCAGCACCUCAACCUUCUCAAACUUCAACGAAAAAUAGUAACAAAAGUUGGAUAGCUUCAGCACCGAAAAUCCAUAGCCAAAAAACAAAGUUGCAUGCAAAACCACUACCUCAGUUAAAGCCGAAAAGACUUGUUAUCAUAGUAACUCCAACUAGCACAAAACUACCUUAUCAAAAUGUUUUUCUGAGAAGGUUAGCGAAUACUAUAAAGCUGGUUGAUCAACCGGUGCUUUGGAUUGUCGUCGAGGCGAAAACCGAUUCGCCGGAGUUGUCGGAGAUUUUAAGGAAAACUGGUAUCAUGUACAGACAUGUUGUUUUCAGUGAAGAGUUUGAGGAUUUAGAAGGUGAAUUGAAUCAUCAGAGAAAUUUAGCACUUAGUCACAUUGAACAUCAUAGAUUGAGUGGGAUUGUUCAUUUUGCUGGACUUUCAAAUGUUUAUGAUCUUCAAUUCUUUCAACAGCUUAGAGAUAUUGAGUAUGUUUUCUAACCCUUCUAUUUGCUUAACUAAUUAUUAAUUAUAUUAUUAUUAUUUUGUUGUCUUAUAGUGAUUUGUUCUAAUUUAAAUGUAGCUAGUGGGGGGAAGUUUUAAAAAUAAGCAAAUUUUUUUCAAUUAGAUGGAGAAAAGUUAGUGAGAAAAUCUUUAGGUAUACCAAAAGAUGAUGAUGAUAACUUUAGUGAAUCUUCAACUUAGAUAAAAAAUCAUAUACAAAGAAGACUAUUUAAUUAAAUAUGUAUAAAAUUAUUUUUUAAAAUUAAUAUUAAUAGUAUUUUUUGUAUUAGUAUUAAUAUUAUUACAUAAGAUUUUGUUAUUAGAAUUUAUUUAUAAAUUUGUUGAUAUUUUCAGUAACUUAUGUUUAUUAAUUAACAUUAAUAUAACAUUUUAAAACUUCAUAUUAAAUAUUAAAAUAUAAUUUAAUAUCACUUACUUAUGAGUUUGUUAAUAAAUUUUAAAUAUGACUUUAGAAAAUAUAAAAUUUAUUGAACUUUAAAUUAAAUUAUAAUAAAUUACUUGUCAAAUUUUAAAAGCUUUUAUCUGAUAAGACUUAAUUCAGUAAAAAUUUACAUGUUAAUAAAAUCAAAACUAUCAUUGAAGUAAAUUUUUUUAAUGAUCUACAAAUUAUGAUAUUUUACAAUUACUAGUUGAUUUUUAAAUUUUUUAAAAAACUUAUAUGCUUAAUUUUCUUUAAUAUUUUUACAAAAUAAUGUGUUUCAAUAUUUUAAUUGUGAUUAAUGUGACAAUUGAGCAGGGUCUUUGGGACAUGGCCAACAGCAUUAUUACUUGCAAAUAGAAAAAGAGUCAUACUUGAAGGACCUGUAUGUGACUCAUCUCAAGUUAUUGGAUGGCAUUUAAGAAAUAUGAACAAUGAAACAAUAACUCCUCCCAUUCAUAUUUCAAGUUUUGCAUUCAAUAGCUCCAUUCUUUGGGACCCUGAAAGAUGGGGUAGAACUUCAUCUGUUAAACACACUUCUCAGGUAAUUAAUCACUUCAUAAUCAUGUUUAAUCUCAUUCUAAAAUAGGUAAUUAAUUAAGUUAGUUUAUAUCACUCCUUCACUUUUUACAAUUUUACUUGCGUCUACUUAACAUUUACCCAACUACUUUAAAAAGAAAACUCAAACGCAAGAAAAAUUAUGCAUUAAGUAAUGUAUAAUGACAACAUGAUUAAUUAGUUGAACUAAUUGAAUAGAACAAUACUACUAAUUAUGUAGUGUUUUCUACUCCAUGUAGUAAUGUUUUCUACCAAACAAUUUUGUUGCUAUUUUGUUUUUUUUGUCAUAAUAAUGAUGCUACUUUUUGUGUGGUUAUCUUAGAAUUCAAUCAAGUUUGUGAAGCAAGUAGUUCUAGAAGAUGAAACAAAGUUGAAGGGAAUUCCACCAUAUUGCUCCAAAAUAUUGUUAUGGCGUUUCAACUUCUAUGCUCGUGCCAUGUCCAAGCAUUAAUUUGUAGGAUAUUAGAGAGAAUAAGGAAUUUGAAGCAAUUCACAAAUUGCUUUUCUACUACAAAAUAUAUGAAAUUUAUUCAUUUUUUUUACCUUUUGUAAUUGUAUUUCGUAUAUAGUUUUUUUCUUCGUUCAUAAUUUUUGUUAGUUUAUGUAAGAGAGGCAAAACAUUUAAAGCAUAUUUUAUAUUUUUAUUUUUUUGAUAUAAAGGCACUAGAGUUUCUAGCAUAUUACUUAAUGCACCAUAAACAUUAUUUACUCUUGUAAAAAAUUAAAAUUAUCCUUAGAAUUUAGAGGUGCAUCCCGGAUGCAUACUAUUUACAUAAAUUAUUUUGUUUUUGAGUCACACAUUAAUUAUAAUUAAAUUUUAUCUAGAAAUGCAUAUAUGUAUUUUAUAUAGAUGUAUUUCUGAAUCCUAAUGAAUCAAGAACAAUUGCAUAAAUGAAACAGAUACACAGUCAGAGAUAAAUUAACAUCAAUAAUUGUUAUGACAUACAUAAAAAUCGAAACAUUAUAUUGAUAAUUGUUAUGACAUGCAUAAAAAAAUGAACUAUACAUUUCAUCAUCAAGUAUGACGUUGCAAUAUCUUCAAAAUAUCUUCGGUGGAUCUCGUAAUUUUCACAUCCAACUCGAUUGAACCUUUCGUUUUGUAAGGGUGAAAUGUACUCCACAUAACCCUUAAAUCAUCAUCUGUCUUCAGCUCAAACUUACUGAACUGAAUGUUUCCUUCGUUAUCAAUCGAGGGUGAACGACACUUGAGUUUGAUAACUUUUUGAUUGUCUAAGUAUUCUAGAAGAUUCUCAAAAUAUGCAUUUCAGAUCUGCAAGAGAGGUGUACUCAGUGACCUUAAAUUCAAGUGAGACAUUCACGACGUUGAAGUAGACAAAUGCGACAUGCCAAUAUAUGUUAAUUCUGGUGUAAUGUGACUUUGUUAAAAAUUUGAGAUGAGAGAUCCAUUUUAUACAAGUUUUAGGUCAAUAUGGAACUUAGAAAUUCAAUCAUGUCCCAAGGGAAAUUCCGUAGAUGUACUUCUUAAAACACCCUACUUUGUUGUGUGAAAUUUAUGAAAAUAUGGUGCAUCAGAAAAUACAUUUUUGAAUAAAUUCAUGUUCGUAUUUUUUUAAAAUAUUUGGGAUGAAUCCAGAAAUGCAUUUUCGGAUGCACCAGAGACUGUUUGCUUAACCAAUUUCAGAAACAGAACCUGUUUUCCAAUAGAAAAUGGAGAAAUAUUUUGAAAAUUGAAACAAAUAUUAAAAUCUAUGAAAACAUAUAUAUUUAACAUCAUUAAUAUUAAUAUAAAAUUACAUACAAUACAUGUCUAACCAAAUAAACACACUGUUGAAUAAAAACUAAAAUGAAUCAAAACAUGUGUCACCGUCUAAAUCUAUAUGUAUGAGAAUUACACAUUUGACUUUUGUUUAUUUGUUUCUAUUUCAAUCUCGCUCAACUUGGUGAAUUCUUGCAUCCUAUCCAUAAAAGGAUUCAACAAAGUCUCAGUUUUCCAUGUUGAAUGAGUUGUCCACUCCAGGGUGUUAGGGGUACAGGGCAUCCUGAUUUCAAAACUAAAACAAAGUGUCACGUUUUUGAAAGUCAUUCAAUACACAUAAUACGAUCAAUUGGAUUUUGAGGUGGGACAAUGUAUAGUGGAUUUUUUUUUCGAAAACUAUAUCUUGUCAGAUCAAUACACACCUUAUUAUAUGCAUUUGUUAUAAGAUGACUCAUUUUAGUGAAGUACAUCCAUUUUUCUUCUGGCGUAGCUCCCCUAAUGCAAGGAAUAAGAGAUUCAUGAUAUGCACCAAAAUUUUCUUUUUUUCCGUAUAACACGUGUGUGAUUCUUUAUAGUCGUGUGUAUGAUUCUUUAUGCACCAAAAUGUAUGAUCAUCAUCUCCUUUACCGAGCAAAGCAGAAAUAUAUCGAAAACCGCCAUUAUCGUUGCCCUCAAUAUUCAUGAUCCGUUCUGAAGGGAUUUAAAGGAGAUUUUUCAAAAAUUUUGAUCCCCUUAGUGGAACAAUCCCGAUGAAUGGAUCUUAAUUAAAUCACUAAUCACGAAUCAAACACAAAUAAAGGUUUUGAAUUCUCUCUUGAAAUGUGCUUUAACUUUGAUCAUGAACGUGAAAAAUAACACCGUCUCUAUGAAGUCUACGCGAGUACAAAGUCGAACGUGAUGCUAGCAUUUUCUUUUUCUGAGAAUGACUUUGCAAAGGAAAUAAUUUUUCUAUUUAUAGAGAGCUACUAAAACCCUAAUAUGUUCUUAUUUUGGUCUUUGUAAAAAUAAGCUCAAUCUUAUUUAAUUAAAUAAUUUUAAUUAAAUAAAAUAUAUUUUAUAUUUAAUUAAAUUUUUUAAUUAUAUAAAAUAAAAUAUUAAUUAAAUUAAUCAUAUUUAAUUCAAUUAAUUAUCAAUUCUCAUUUAUUUAAUUAAAUUAUAUUUAAUCAAAUAAAUUAUAUAUGUAUUAAUAUAUUAAAUAAUCUAAAUACUCUUAACACAUGAUUAAAUUAAAUUAAAUCUUAUUUAAUUUAAUCAUUCAUUCAAUUAUCAGUACUCUAUGGGUGAUACUUAUUUGAGGACGAACAUGCAUUUUACAGUCAUACUCGUUCAAGGGUCCAUAAAUAUUAUUCCAGUAUAUAUAGGAGAUACAAAUCUCAUAUAAGUCAUCCAUGUCUCUUAACAUGAUUUAUAAAAUAUUCAUCCAUCAUCUUUAUAUCUUUAUAGGAAUUCUUUUAUGGAUAACUUUUGAAUGUAGUGUGUACUCAUUUAUGUAAUACCUAUAGCACUCGGUUGUUUUUCUUUGGUUUAUCAAAACAACCGAUGCUUGUUUUAGUGUUUUGACCAAUAUUUGAGAAUUGAAAUAAGUUCUUUUAAGUAGUCAUAAUUGCUCUCCAAACCAACGCCAGCUAGAGUUUAGUAACAGUUUAACUUGUAUAAACUUGCAUAUUAAACAAUUUAAAUUGAAUCGUUCACAAUUAUUAACCAAUGUCAUAAAGUGGUAUAAGUCCGACCCCUGUUAAUUCAUGGAUAAUCUGCAAACUUUAACAAAACAAAUAAUUUUAAUAUUUACUUAAAACUACCUUAAAGUAUAUUUGGAAAAUAUCUUUUAUCAUAGACCAAAUUAUAAGAGAUAAAUGUAUAUUUACUUUUAAAAUAAUUAUUAUAGGAGUCACUUAUAACUUAGGGUCUAAAUGAUUUAACUCACACAAGCUACAAUUUUAACGGAUUCAAAAGUUGGUCCAAUUGCUUAGUUUAGAAUUCUUUAAAAAAUCUAUAAAACUGAACUAUAAAUUUGAACCAUAUUGUUGUUAAAUAAAUUAAUCAUUCAUUUUUAAAUAACAAAAUUAAAAGAACAACACUGCAAAUAUAUAAAAGGUGAGAUACUAGGUUCGGGAGUCAUUUAAGUGAGAGAAAAAUAUUAGACAUCUCUCACCUCCAUUGUAUUCAAUGAAAUCCUCCUCUAAAUCUAGGGUUAGUGUGUUUUUAAGAGAAUUUUGCUUUAAUAUUUAUUAAUUAUUUAAUUAUUUAUUUAUUUAACAAAAAGAUAUUUGAUUAGAGAAAAGAAAAAUCAAUUACAAAAGAAGACUAAAAAAUGUUUUUGAUUAUUAUACUUGCUAGAAUCUUACAACUCUAACUCUAUGCCUACGUACCAUUACUUUUAAUGAAAGAUCAGAGUCUCGUAGUUCUGGUAGAAAAAUGUUUGUAGUUUUUAUCCCUUAAAAAUUCUUAAGCAUCGGGGACGAAAAAGUAAUUGAUUUUGAAAAAUGCAUCAAUGCACUAUGGCAGAUGACUUAUAGUUUGAGGUGAGUUUAAAUUAAUUUUAUUCCAAUUAUUGAUUAAAAAAAUAUAGUACUUAAUUUAUUUAUGAAAAUAAAUAUUAUAUAUUUAUAAGACAUAUCUCUUAUCCCGAUUGUAUCCCCGAUUUAUCCCUUAUUUUUAUCUCUUUGAAAUCCUAAAAAUCUAUCCCUUAUUUUAUCCCAUGUUCUUAUCCCCUUUGAUUGCAAAAAUAUAAUAUAUUAAAUAACUUAAAUAAGAUGUAAUAUGAUGUAUCCCUUAUUUUUAUCUCUUUGAAAUCCUAAAAGUCUAUCCCUUAUUUUAUCCCAUGUUCUUAUCCCCUUUGAUUGCAAAAAUAUAAUAUAAUUAAAUAACUUAAAUAAGAUGUAUCCCUCAUCCCGAUUUUAUCCCUUAAAACCCUAUAAAUUAUCCCUAAAAUUUCUUGAUUUAAUUAUCCCUAGUUUCUAUAAAUCCCUAAUUAAUAUGACUAUUCUAAAUAAUUGAUGAAGAAUCCAACUUAAAAAUAAAUAUUAAAUUAAUGAAAUCCCCGAUUAUUAGUUUAAUUAAAUCCAAUUAAUUUUAAUAAACCAACCUUAAUAAUUAAAUUCCUAAAACUAUAUAUUCAUUAAAAUAAAUAUAUUUUAAAAAACAGGGGGGGUGUAUUAUGGUACUAAAUAAACAAUUGGGCUUGAAGCUGGGGUGUGGGAAGCAAUGGAAAGAAAGGCCCAAUACUCUCUGAAGUCUAACGCAUGGGGGUCUAUAGAAGGAGAGAGUCAAUCGUUGACUCUCUUUGGUUCCUUUGAUCAAGAUCAUGGGGAUGUUAUUACACUUAAUCAUAGCCUUUGGUUUGAUUGACUGGUCAAAGUAUAUAGAGUGUAUGAUUGAAAUGCAGAGUCAAAAGGGGACUCGGGGUAUACACGCAUACACAACGGGUGAGUUUUUUCCUGCAUUGCCCUCCUAUUGAAUUUUUUUAUCCAAUAUGCCCCAGUCUGAAAAUAAUUUCCCAAUCUACCCCCUUUUUCAAUUAGGGCUCGCCACUUCAAACGACGAGGGGAUGAAGGCCUAAUUUACGCAGUUAGGGCUCGUCACUUCAAGUGACGAGGACAUGAAGAAGGAUUUUUUUUUAAUAUUUUAAAUAUUGUAUUAAAUAAUAAUAAUAAUUAAUAUAAUUAAUUUUUAAUUAUUAAUUCUAUAUUUAAUUAAUAUAAUUGAUUUAAUUAAAAAUAAUAAUAAUUUUUUUAUAAAAAAAUAUUUAAAAUAAAUUGUAAAUAAUUAUAGUUUUUCAUGAUAAUAAAAAAAUUGUGAUANUGUAGAAAUUGAAGAGAGUAAAUAUUUGAAGAGGGUAAGAAUGUGUGAAAUAGAAAUUGUAGGUAGAUGAUGAGUAAGAAGUGUAGAAGUAUUGAUUAUUUAUAGUGGUAAAAUUAUAAUAAAAAAAAUUGGUAAAAGUUUGAAUAGUAGAGGAUUAGACAUUGCAUUGCAUGUCAUGCAUGCAAAAAAAAUUGUAAGGAUUCCCUGUAACAUGAGAUUCCCACGCUGAAGGGAAAACACAAUGCCAAUAGCCUGCACUAUGGCUCGUCACUUUGAUGGACGAGCUGUACCUACUUCUUUGAGGCCUCGUCAAAUGGAAUGGCGAGGUGAUUCAUCCUCUUUGUUGCCUCGUCAAAUGAAGUGACAAGUUCUGUAUGUCUAGGGUUUUGUCUCGUCAAUCCAAGUGAUGAGCUAUCACAUGCCAAUUUCCUCACGCGUUUCCCUACUUCUCCCUCCUCUAUUUAACUUAAAAUCAGCAUGUGAUUUGGAUAUUGUAUUAUAUUCACACCAAAUCAAACUCAUAUUUCCUAUAAAUACUACUAACUUCCUCAUUUACAUUCACCAAAUCAAAUCCUCAUUUAUAUUCACACCAAAUCAAAUCCUCAUUUAUAUUCACACUAAAUCAAAUAUUACACAUCCAUGGCUCAAAGAAAUUUAGUUGUUUCUAUCCAUUCCGAAGGGUCACUUUUCACAUAUUCAAGUGAGGGAUUCUCAUUUUGCAAUACGAAUUUAACUAUGUUCAAAAUCCACAUCAACUCCGACUUUCAUAAUUUAAAAGACCGUAUUGAAAAGAAGUUGCAACGUUAUGUUGAAGACAUCAUUUAUCGUCAACCAUUAUUUAAUGGAGAUGAUAAUACCGUCUUUCACAUAAUGACACCGAUUAAGACCGACGAAGAAAUUUGUUGUUCAAAUCCAAAUUGGAGUUUGACUCGAUCCGUCUGAUGCAUCUCAACGGUAUAGAAACAUAUGAUAUAUGUUGUUGCACUCCAGACUCGGCUGUCAUUAUAAUCAGGCACUGGAUAUUAUAUGUACGGCCUCCAAAUAAACUGUUAAAAGAAAUAUAACUAUUAGAAUGUAUAUUAAAUUUAAAUAAGUUAAAUAUUUUAAUUAAUCAUUCUUACAUCUUUUUCUUCCAUGUGUUCUAUUGCAACACGGUACCCUUGUACAUGAUGUCGAGGAUUAUUUCGAUAAUUCAUACCUCGUUUGCACCAUCUUGCAUAUUAAAAAAAAUAUGUUAAAUUGACGUAUAAUUUUUUUUUGAUAAAUAUAAAUUGCAUUUAAAUGAAAAUCGUUACCUUAAACCUCGUUACUAACCGGGGCUAUCAAGGGUAUGCGUGUGAAUGCCCAUACAGUUAGUAAUACCACACAUCCUCCUAUGCUCUUUACUCCUCUAUGGGCCGCCUUGCACAUAUGUCUAUAUAGUGUAGCCAAACAAGCAGAACCCCAACUGUAUGAAUUACAUUUUUCAAGGUCUCCUACUAAAGGUAACCAAGAAGAAUGCAACAAAUUGUGACUUUUAUCUGGCAUUAAAAAAGUAGCAAUUAAAAGUAAAAUAUAAAUUUUUGCAUGUAAAAUAUUUUCUGCCUCGGACGGGUUAGGGUUAUUUUUUAGUUGCGUUAAUACUGCGUCUAGCCAAACAAUUUUGACAGAAGCCCCAUUUUUAUCCGAGGGCGGUUGGUUCGAUGCCCAAAUUUUCCAUGUAAACGGCACUGGUUACGUUUGUUGGGCCAUUGACAGCUUUUCCAUGGAUUCGGAGACCGAAUAACAUACUCACAUCCUCUAAUGUGAUGGUACAUUCACCUGUUGGUAAAUGAAAUGUAUGUGUCUCCGGUCUCCAUCUCUCUAACAAUGCCACAAUGAGUUUAGAGUCUACUUUUAGACUUGCAAUUUUUGCCACAUUCGCAAAACCUGCUAGCUCCAAGUACGGUAUUAUAACCGCACUUGGUUGAAUAUAUGAAUGCAAAUGAACCCGAAAUUUUCCAUCUUGCUGAAAUUAAAAUAAAUAACAGUAAUGAAUAUUUGGUCUAAUAAAGAACGGAAGUAAAAAACGAUAAUAAAAAACGAUAAUAAAAAACGGUAAAUUUGAAUGAGACUUACGUAUUCGACAAUGUUUGCCGCCGUCCCACGGUGUGAUUCACCCAUCCAUAAGAAAGACAUCUUGAAAGGAAGUGUAGAAAUUGAAGAGAGUAAAUAUUUGAAGAGGGUAAGAAUGUGUGAAAUAGAAAUUGUAGGUAGAUGAUGAGUAAGAAGUGUAGAAGUAUUGAUUAUUUAUAGUGGUAAAAUUAUAAUAAAAAAAAUUGGUAAAAGUUUGAAUAGUAGAGGAUUAGACAUUGCAUUGCAUGUCAUGCAUGCAAAAAAAAUUGUUAAGGAUUCCCUGUAACAUGAGAUUCCCACGCUGAAGGGAAAACACAAUGCCAAUAGCCUGCACCUAUGGCUCGUCACUUUGAUUGACGAGCUGUACCUACUUCUUUGAGGCCUCGUCAAAUGGAAUGGAGAGGUGAUUCGUCCUCUUUGUUGCCUCGUCAAAUGAAGUGACGAGUGCUUUAUGUCUAGGGUUUUGUCUCGUCAAUCCAAGUGACGAGCUAUCACAUGCCAAUUUCCUCACGCGUUUCCCUCUGUCUCUCUCCUCUAUUUAACUUAAAAUUAGCAUGUGAUUUGGAUAUUGUAUUAUAUUCACACCAAAUCAAAUUCAUAUUUCCUAUAAAUACUACUACUUCCUCAUUUACAUUCACCAAAUCAAAUCCUCAUUUAUAUUCACACCAAACCAAAUCCUCAUUUAUAUUCACACCAAAUCAAAUCCUCAUUUAUAUUCAUACUAAAUCAAAUAUUACACAUCCAUAUGGAAUGAGUCAUUUAUCGUCAACCAUUAUUUAAUGGAGAUGAUAAUACCGUCUUUCACAUAAUGACACUGAUUAAGACCGACGAAGAUGUCAGGUCGAUGUUUCAAUGUCAUGUAACAUUAUCUCAAUUACCCAGCAUUGAGAUAUAUGUUCGUCUAGUCGAUAAUCUUGAAGAACAACCGAGUGACAAUGUUGAGGAACAACCGUCUCACAACGAAAAUCACUGUUAUCCAACGCAAUCUGUACAGUCACACGACUAUGGAAUGAGUCAAGCCAUUGACGAAGAGCCGACUCAAAAUAAUGAACCUUUCAUACCAAAUGAAGAGGUGGGCGAGAAUAGUGAGGAUGAUCUUGAGGAGGUUCGAUUUGAAGAUCUAUUCGGUGUUAGCGAUGACGAUGGCAAUGAGGAAAUAUUCGACACACCGGCCGUUGCACUAAGAGCGCAACCAAUUAGUUUGUACAACCCACCUGCGCACAUGCAAAACAUAAGUUUGGAUGAUGCCGAACCAAUCUCCGUUUUCGGCAGUUUCAUACCAACUCACAACUUUGACGAAAUAGAGGAGGGCAUAGAGUAUGAAGAUAAGGAAGAGUGUCUUCUGGCGUUGCAACAAUGGCAUAUAAAACGUAGUCUAGAUUUUUCUGUGGUUAAAUCUGACAGUGUAUGUUUUGUCAUCAAAUGUAGAAAUUCAACAUGCAAUUUCAAAUGCAGGGUCUCUUUGCGCAAGGGCAACUCAAGGUGGAGAGUUGGUAAGUCUAGUGGGCCUCAUACGUGCACAACCACUUCCAUGUCACAAGACCAUACAAAACUCAGUUCAGAAAUGAUUAGCAAGAGCAUAAUGGAGCUUGUAAAUCGGGACGCUUCUCUUAAGGUGAAGGUUAUCAUUGCUCAUGUUGUUGAGAAAUACCGGUAUAUCAUAUCAUACAAAAAGGCAUGGAUUGCAAAGUGUAAGGCGGUUGAGUCGCUCUAUAGAAAUUGGGAGACAUCUUACAACGAUCUUCUACAGUGGAUACUGGUAAUGAAAACAUAUCUACCAGGUACCAUUAUAGAAUUACAAACCCUACCUGUGAUUUCAAAUGAUGGUUCAUACUUGGGUGACCAAAGGAUAUUUCAUCGUCUGUUUUGGGCGUUUAGACCAUGUAUACGUGGCUUCGCGUAUUGUAAACCAAUUGUGCAGGUUGAUGGAACUUGGUUGUAUGGCAAGUACAGAGGGGCUCUGCUGAUGGAUGUGGCACAGGAUGGGAAGGGGAACAUAUUUCCGAUAGCGUUCGCAUUGGUUGAAAGUGAGACAAAGGAAGCCUGGAGUUUCUUUCUUAAGAAUUUGAGAAUGCAUGUUACCCCCCAAGCAAAUCUAUGCCUAAUAUCAAACAGGCAUGAAUCAAUAAAGAAUGCAUACAACAACCCGGAAAAUGGAUGGCAGUUUCCUCCUUCAUCACACGUCUAUUGCAUUAGACAUAUCGCGCAAAACUUCAUGCGGGAGAUUAAAGAUAAGGAUCUGCGGAAAAUAGUUGUUAACAUGGGUUAUGCGUUAACAGAGGCAACGUUUAACUACUAUCGGGGGGAAAUCCGAAGAACAAACAACGACGCUUUAUCAUAGAUAGACAACAUCCCUCGCGAGAAGUGGGCAAGGGCAUUUGACGGAGGGCAACGCUGGGGUCACAUGACAACUAACCUAGCAGAAGCAACGAACGCGGUGUUGAAAGAAACCCGGAACCUUUCAAUCACUGCAUUGGUCAAAUCUACGUACUAUCGUUUAGGAUCACUAUUUGGUAGAAGAGGCCAUCAGUGGACAAAAAUGUUAGCCUCUGGGCAGGUUUUCACUGAUAACUGCAACAAGGGGAUGGCUGAGGAAGUCAUCAAAGCUAACACGCAUAACGUCAUGCAGUUCGACCGAGAGAGAUUUUAUUUCAUGGUCCAAGAGAAGAUUAAUCAUAACGACGGUCGACCAACCGGAACGUUCAGCGUUGAUCUGAGGAAACAACACUGUGACUGUGGGAAAUUUCAGGCAUUUCACUUACCUUGCUCCCAUGUAAUCGCAGCAUGUUCGAGCAUACGCCAGGACUAUUCCAUUCACAUUCCAGACGUCUUCAAAAUUCGUAACGUCUUCAAGGUCUAUCAGGAGAGUUUCCUAGGACUUCCCCAUGAGGAGAAUUGGCCACAAUAUGAAGGAUAUACUCUUUGCCACGACGACUCUAUGAGAAGGAGGAAGAAAGGGCGCCCAAACAGCACCAGGAUUAGAACCGAGAUGGACGACGUUGAGAAGGAGAAGAGAAGGUGUGGAAUUUGUCGCGAAAUAGGACACAUGCGUAGGAAAUGUCCUAAUGUUGCAGGAUCAUCCCAACGACCUUCCAGAUGAUUAUCUUGUUGUUUUAAAUAUUCGUUCAGAUGACUAUGUUUAUUUAUUUAUUUAUUAACUACUAUGCACAUAAUAUAUAUAAACCAUUUUGUAUUUCUAAUGUCUUUUGGGAACAAACAUUUAUGAAAUACAUUUGAUAAUCAAAGGCUUCUGGUUACAAAGUACGACCACAUCAACUAAACAACAACAACAACCAACACAAGUGGUAAUUAAAAAACUAAUCAACAACAACAACCAACACAAGUGGACCUUCAACUCCUCUAUUAACUUCACCACUAUGUGCCGAAAACAUACAUUGGACAUCUUCAUCAUUUUCUAUACGAUCCAGGUAAUACAUGUACGUACCAUCGGGGCUUGCAUCAGUCAACGUUAUGUAUGGACAACGAUACUCUACUUUCCUCACCUUCAUACGACGCCCGCCCAACUGUCGGAAGCCAGUGUGGAUGGCAGAAAUCAGUGUUCUGAAAUUCCAUUGCGGAUCAAGGCAAACACUCAUUUUUUCACCGUGUCCAUAAAAUACAAGACCACAAACAGACAUUAUGAACUAAAGAAAGGAUUUGGUGGUGUGAGUUUCAUUUCUACCAGUUNNNNNNNNNNNNNNNNNNNNNNNNNNNNNNNNNNNNNNNNNNNNNNNNNNNNNNNNNNNNNNNNNNNNNNNNNNNNNNNNNNNNNNNNNNNNNNNNNNNNNNNNNNNNNNNNNNNNNNNNNNNNNNNNNNNNNNNNNNNNNNNNNNNNNNNNNNNNNNNNNNNNNNNNNNNNNNNNNNNNNNNNNNNNNNNNNNNNNNNNNNNNNNNNNNNNNNNNNNNNNCAACAACAACCAACACAAGUGGACCUUCAACUCCUCUAUUAACUUCACCACUAUGUGCCGAAAACAUACACUGGACAUCUUCAUCAUUUUCUAUACGAUCCAGGUAAUACAUGUACAUACCAUCGGGGCUUGCAUCAGUCAACGUUAUGUAUGGACAACGAUACUCUACUUUCCUCACCUUCAUACGACGCUCGCCCAACUGUCGGAAGCCAGUGUGGAUGGCAGAAAUCAGUGUUCGGAAAUUCCAUUGCGGAUCAAGGCAAACACUCAUUUUCUCACCGUGUCCAUAAAAUACAAGACCACAAACAGACAUUCUGAACUAAAGAAAGGAUUUGGUGGUCUGAGUUACAUUUCUACAAGUUCUGCUAUUUAUACAAAAAUUAAUAGUUGAAUACUCAGCCAAUCAUUGGCCGAGACAGUACAAACACAAAAACUUUUUGGCGGGAAAGAUAUCAUUCCCAAAAAAUGAUUGACAUUUUGGAGGGAAACAUAACAAUUUUAUUAUUAAUAUAUAAGACAUAAAUUAUUUCUAUUAUUAAUAUUCUAAAAAUUAAUCAUUUUUAUUAUUAGUAUUUCAAAAAUAAUAAUAUCACAAUUUUUUUAUUAUCAUGAAAAACUAUAAUUAUUUACAAUUUAUUUUAAAUAUUUUUUUAUAAAAAAAUUAUUAUUAUUUUUAAUUAAAUCAAUUAUAUUAAUUAUUUUUUUAUUAUCAUGAAAAACUAUAAUUAUUUACAAUUUAUUUUAAAUAUUUUUUUAUAAAAAAAUUAUUAUUAUUUUUAAUUAAAUCAAUUAUAUUAAUUAAAUAUAAAAUUAAUAAUUAAAAAUUAAUUAUAUUAAUUAUUAUUAUUAUUUAAUACAGUAUUUAAAAUAUUAAAAAAUAAAAAAAUCCUUCUUCAUGUCCUCGUCACUUGAAGUGACGAGCCCUAACUGCGUAAAUUGGGCCUUCAUCCCCUCGUCAUUUGAAGUGGCGAGCCCUAACUGAAAAAGGGAUAGAUUGAGAAAUUAUUUUCAGACUGGGGCAUAUUGGGUAAAAAAUUUCAAAUAGAGGGCAUAUGCAGCAAAAACUCACAACGGGUAUGUUGAGUCAACUGGUUGAUUGGUUGAGAGAGGUCACGCAAGCAUGAUGUGGCACUUGGCUGGAUGAGGGUAUAAAAGUUAUCUCCCUUUAGAAAUCUUCAUUUCCACUUCUCUCAUUCUCCCUCUCUUCAUUGCUCUCCCUCUCUCUUCUCUCCCCUCUUUCUACUUCGGCAACCCUCUUCCCCACCGUAUAUCCCCAGAAACCACCCACAAACCACCACAUUCAACUGAGAUCUUUAUGUUCAUCAUGAACAUGAAAAACACCCAACUCAGAAACCGACCCCUCACCAUCCUUUCCCCCAGAACCACCGAAUCUCCGGAUCUCGGGUUGAAGCUCAACCAGGAUCUUCAAUCAAUGUUCAUCUGGGUGAUGAACAUCAACCCAGAACCAAGAACCCUAACCCUAACAUUCAACCAAAACCCAGAAUCACAAGAACCAUAACCCUAACUGAAGAACCCUAACCUUCAAAAUCAAAACCCAAAUUCUCCUAACCUUUAUCAUGUUCAUCAUGAACAUGAUGAAUCUUCAUCCCUGAUCUCUGAACCAUAACCCAAAUUUCCAGAAAUCCCCACAAUUCACCCAAUCAUAACAAAAACAACCUUAAAUCAAAGGUCGUAACCUCUUUAUCAAUAAUUAACCGCCAAAAUAAAUAACAAAACAUCCUAAAACCAUGAAUCAAUCCAUCUGAACCCUAAUCCCCAAAUCAACCCCAAUCAUCAUACAUCAACAACAACAUCAAAGAGUCAACAAAAGUAAGCAAAUAAGUGAAGUUCUACCAACCUACAGAAUCGAGGAAUAUUCCAGUUCGAAAGGUAAUUACCUAGAGUCCUUUCUUAAUUACUUCUUUUAUUAUGCUCCUCUUCUAAUCCCUUUCUUAUUGUUAUGCGAGGUUUGAUGGUUGGCUAAGCUCAAAUAACUUAGGGUUUCAGUGUGAAGCCCUAAACAUCAAAUUUUGUUGAGCAUAUGGUGAGACUUUUAGGAUCAAUGUUGCGACUGCAAGUUCCAAGUCCUUAGGGUUUUCUUCGUCCCUGAUUGAAUUUUAGGUUUAUGUUUAUAUAAAUUAUUUUUUAGGGUUUUAGAUUUCAAUUCUGAUUGUAUGGUUUUAUAAGAUUAGGACCUGAUUGAUUAUGUAUUUGAUUUAGAUUGAUUUUGUGUUAUAAAUAGAAAUUAGGUUUGAAUUGUAACAGACAUUGACAAUUUAUGUAGUCCAAUUUUGAUUGAUAUUCACGAUUUGAAUGUAUAUGAAAUAAAAACAGAAAUUUUGGAUUGGUUUUAAAAU